UUCCCGUUCGUCUAACCGGUAGGACGCGAGACUCUGACUCUCGAAACCGAGGUUCGAACCCUCGACGGGAAG
rnacentral:tRNA from 1 species